CAAUAGCGUAUAUUAAAGUUGUUGCGGUUAAAAAGCUCGUAGUUGGAUUUCUGCUGAGAACGACCGGUCCGCCCUUUGGGUGUGUAUCUGGCUCUUUCUUGGCAUCUUCUUGGUGAACGUUGCUGCACUUGACUGUGUGGAGCGCUACCCAGGACUUUUACUUUGAGGAAAUUAGAGUGUUUCAAGCAGGCAUACGCCUUGAAUACAUUAGCAUGGAAUAAUAAGAUAGGACCUCGGUUCUAUUUUGUUGGUUUCUAGAGCUGAGGUAAUGAUUAAUAGGGAUAGUUGGGGGCAUUCGUAUUUAACUGUCAGAGGUGAAAUUCUUGGAUUUUUGCAAGACGAACGACUGCGAAAGCAUUUACCAAGGAUGUUUUCAUUAA
rnacentral:rRNA from 1 species